rnacentral:rRNA from 1 species
UACGUAGGGUGCAAGCGUUUGUCCGGAAUUAUUGGGCGUAAAGAGCUCGUAGGCGGUCUGUCGCGUCUGCUGUGAAAACUCGGGGCUUAACCCCCGGGCCUGCAGUGGGUACGGGCAGACUAGAGUGCGGUAGGGGAGACUGGAAUUCCUGGUGUAGCGGUGAAAUGCGCAGAUAUCAGGAGGAACACCGGUGGCGAAGGCGGGUCUCUGGGCCAGUACUGACACUGAGGAGCGAAAGCGUGGGUAGCAAACAGG